rnacentral:tRNA from 1 species
GGCCGGAUGCCCGAGUGGACCAAGGGAGCGGAUUGCAAAUCCGUGAUUCGUGGGUUCGAAUCCCACUCCGGCCU